rnacentral:rRNA from 1 species
UACAGAGGCCUCAAGCGUUAGGCGGAAUCACUGGGCGUAAAGGGCGUGUAGGCGGGAAUGUAAGUCGGGCGUGAAAUCCCUAGGCUCAACCUAGGAACUGCACUCGAAACUGCGUUUCUUGAGUAUCGGAGAGGAAAGCGGAAUACCUGGUGUAGAGGUGAAAUUCGUAGAUAUCAGGUGGAACACCAGUGGCGAAGGCGGCUUUCUGGACGAUAACUGACGCUGAGACGCGAAAGCGUGGGGAGCAAACAGG